UUGACGGGGCCGCACAAGCGGUGGAGCAUGUGGUUAAUUCGAAGCAACGCGAAGAACCUUACCAGGUCUUGACAUCCCCUGACAACCCAAGAGAUUGGGCGUUCCCCUUCGGGGGACAGGGUGACAGGUGGUGCAUGGUUGUCGUCAGCUCGUGUCGUGAGAUGUUGGGUUAAGUCCCGCAACGAGCGCAACCCUCGCCUCUAGUUGCCAGCAUUCGGUUGGGCACUCUAGAGGGACUGCCGGCGACAAGUCGGAGGAAGGUGGGGAUGACGUCAAAUCAUCAUGCCCCUUAUGACCUGGGCUACACACGUGCUACAAUGGGCGGUACAAAGGGCUGCGAACCCGCGAGGGGGAGCGAAUCCCAAAAAGCCGCUCUCAGUUCGGAUUGCAGGCUGCAACUCGCCUGCAUGAAGCCGGAAUCGCUAGUAAUCGCGGAUCAGCAUGCCGCGGUGAAUACGUUCCCGGGCCUU
rnacentral:rRNA from 1 species